GAUAACGUAUUUGUACCAUUUCACUUUUAUCAAUUUUAUUAAUGAAUGUACAGGUUCCAAAUAAGAUUUCAUUUAUCUGGUGUUAUAGGGUGCAUUGACUGCACCCAUGUAACCAUUGUGAAGUCCAUGGUAGAUGAGCAUCUUUUUUAUAAAAGUAUACCACUCAUUAAAUGUACAAAUGAUUUGUGAUCAUAACUUAAAAAUUUUAAAUGUCGAUGCUAAGUAUGGUGGAGCCACACAUGACUCUUAUAUGGUCAUCCAGCCAAGUGGAACCAUAUAUGCAUGGGCUUCAUCAAAAUGGUGAACAAACAGGCUAUUAGGUGAUUCUGGAUACCCACAAAGAGCCUGGCUAAUGAUGCCUAUCUUAAAUGCUGCAUCAGGGUCACCAGAAGAGAAUUACACCAGGCGUCAUAUCCAGGCCACGAAUUAAAUUGAACGGUGUUUUGGCUUGCUGAAGUUACAUUGAAGAUGUUUACUUAAGCACUGAACACUUCAUUAACAUCUCCAAGUCACCAGUAAAAUAGUAAUUGCAUGUGGUGCGCUGCAUAACAUUGCAUUGAAUGCCAAAUUACCCCCACCAGGUGAUAUGGCUGCACAACAUGAUGAUGAGGAUCUACCAGUAGCAGCCAAGAUGAGCUAAAGCAUGGC